ACCAAUAGUAACGUUCGAUCUGACUCAGCUCCUACACAAAGCUGCCACAACCCGCUUCUCUAACGUCGUUUCAGGGCUUGUUUUGUGCUUGGGGCCCUGUGUGGAGAAGUUAGUCAGUGUUGUGUAGUUGUGUGCAUACUUUCUUCCGUCUGUGUGUCAAACUUAUGAACUUGUUUCACAGUCAGGCUGCGGGAGAGAGUGAAGACGGUCUCCUCGUCCAAGACAGUCGGCAGAAAUGAAGAGCCAACAGAAAAGCCCUGAACCAGAUGGGAGUGUUACUGUCAACGAGGAAGGGUCCGUAGCCACCGCAGAGGACCCGGCUGCUAUUGCCACCAUUCAGUCUGCUGCCACCUUCACUGAUCAACCCAUCAAAUAUCUCUUCAAGACAGAAGGAGCAGGCGGACAGGU